AGACUGGGAUAACUCCGGGAAACCGGGGCUAAUACCGGAUAACAUUUUGAACCGCAUGGUUCGAAAUUGAAAGGCGGCUUCGGCUGUCACUUAUGGAUGGACCCGCGUCGCAUUAGCUAGUUGGUGAGGUAACGGCUCACCAAGGCAACGAUGCGUAGCCGACCUGAGAGGGUGAUCGGCCACACUGGGACUGAGACACGGCCCAGACUACUACGGGAGGCAGCAGUAGGGAAUCUUCCGCAAUGGACGAAAGUCUGACNGAGCAACGCNGCGUGAGUGAUGAAGGCUUUCGGGUCGNAAAACUCUGUUGUUAGGGAAGAACAAGUGCUAGUUGAAUAAGCUGGCACCUUGACGGUACCUAANCNGAANGCCACGGCUAACUACNUGCCAGCNGCCGCGGUAAUACGUAGGUGGCAAGCGUUAUCCGGAAUUAUUGGNCGUANAGCGCGCGCAGGUGGUUUCUUAAGUCUGAUGUGAAAGCCCACGGCUCAACCGUGGAGGGUCAUUGGAAACUGGGAGACUUGAGUGCAGAAGAGGAAAANUGGAAUUCCAUGUGUAGCGGUGAAAUGCGUAGAGAUAUGGAGGAACACCAGUGGCGAAGGCGACUUUCUGGUCUGUAACUGACACUGAGGCGCGAAAGCGUGGGGAGCANACANGAUUAGAUNNCCUGGUAGUCCACNCCGUAANCGAUGAGUGCUAAGUGUUAGAGNGUUUCUGCCCUUUAGUNCNGAAGUUNACGCAUUAAGCACUCCGCCUGGGGAGUACGNCCGCAAGGCUGNAACUCANAGGAAUUGACGGGGGCCCGCACAAGCGGUGGAGCAUGUGGUUUAAUUCGAAGCAACGCGAAGAACCUUACCAGGUCUNGACAUCCUCUGAAAACCCUAGAGAUAGGGCUUCUCCUUCGGGAGCAGAGUGACAGGUGGUGCAUGGUNGUCGUCAGCUCGUGUCNUGAGAUGUUGGGUUAAGUCCCGCAACGAGCGCAACCCUUGAUCUUAGUUGCCAUCAUUAAGUUGGGCACUCUAAGGUGACUGCCGGUGACAAACCGGAGGAAGGUGGGGAUGACGUCAAAUCAUCAUGCCCCUUAUGACCUGGGCUACACACGUGCUACAAUGGACGGUACAAAGAGCUGCAAGACCGCGAGGUGGAGCUAAUCUCAUAAAACCGUUCUCAGUUCGGAUUGUAGGCUGCAACUCGCCUACAUGAAGCUGGAAUCGCUAGUAAUCGCGGAUCAGCAUGCC
rnacentral:rRNA from 1 species